CCUGCAGGCCGGGUGGCCGCGGGCCGCGUCGCGAGGCGCGGCUCGAGGAAAGUCCGGACACCGCAGGGCAGGACGCUCCCGGAAGGGAGGCGGCGAAAGCCGACGGAAAGUGGCACAGAGAGCAGACCGCCGGCCGCGGAUUCUCCGGAGGCGCGGCCGGUAAGGGUGAAACGGUGGGGUAAGAGCCCACCAGCGGCCGCGGCGACGCGGCCGGCUCGCCAAACCCCGUCCGGUGCAAGGCGAACAGGCUCCGAUGACGCGGCCCGCCGAGGAGCCGGGUAGCCGCACAGAUGGAUGGUCACCCUCGACAGAAUCCGGCUUACAGGCCUGCUACGGAA
rnacentral:RNase_P_RNA from 1 species